rnacentral:rRNA from 1 species
UACUUCCCAGGCGGAGUACUUAAUGCGUUAGCUGCGGCACCGAGGGGGGUAACCCCCGACACCUAGUACUCAUCGUUUACGGCGUGGACUACCAGGGUAUCUAAUCCUGUUCGCUCCCCACGCUUUCGUGCCUCAGCGUCAGUUACAGUCCAGAAAGCCGCCUUCGCAACUGGUGUUCCUCCCAAUAUCUACGCAUUUCACCGCUACACUGGGAAUUCCACUUUCCUCUCCUGCACUCAAGUCCUACAGUUUCAAAGGCUUACUACGGUUGAGCCGUAGCCUUUCACCUCUGACUUGCAAGACCGCCUACGCACCCUUUACGCCCAGUAAUUCCGGAUAACGCUAGCCCCCUACGUAUUACCGCGGCUGCUGGCACGUAGUUAGCCGGGGCUUCCUCCUCAAGUACCGUCAAUAUUCUUCCUUGAGGACAGAGCUUUACGAUCCGAAGACCUUCAUCGCUCACGCGGCGUUGCUGCAUCAGGCUUUCGC